GGAAUUUAAUAUUUACAUUAAAAAGUGUAACUCUCUGAGGGGACGAUAAGACCCUAUAAAACUUUAAUUUAAACUACUUUUAAUAUAUCCAGGAGACUUAAGAGUUAUUAAAUUAAGCUGGGGCGGUAGCUAGGACACACUAGUAAAGUUAACAGACUGCUUGAAUAUAAAGAUCUUGUUAAGAAGUAGAAUAAGUUACUUUAGGGAUAACAGCAUAAUUUUUUUGUAUAGACCGUAUAGAAUAAAAAGACUUAUGACCUCGAUGUUGAAUUGGGGUUCCCCCCCAAAGCAGAAAUUGGGGAGGGGGGUCUGUUCGACCUAUUACCCCCC
rnacentral:rRNA from 1 species